AAAGCUGCCCCGAAGCAGUUA
rnacentral:siRNA from 1 species